GUGCGCGUGUGUGUGUGUGUGUGUGUGAGAGAGAGAGAGAGAGAGAGAUGAAUUGGAGUCAUCCGACUGGGUGUUUCCUUCCGAGUGGUUUUGAUCAGCAAUCCAUUAGUGGAUCAUGGAAACUUUUUUUUUUUCUUUUCUGACUAAAAGGAUGAAAACUGAGUAAGUACACAGAACUUUGAACUUGAAACGGAGUGAAACAAAUGCAAGCAGAACCCUGACAGUCACCAUGUCCAUCCAAGCAGCUUAUUCCCUUUUUAUGAUAAAAGCCGUGAGUGCCUACAGGAAAGUGGGAAUGUAAAGCUGAAUGAAGGGCAGCUCACAAAAGGCUGAAAGCAGGACUGCUUUAAAACCCGGAGGAAAAAUGAGGAACUGCUAAGGCAACCUGGCCUGCGCCCAGCUGUGCAACAGGCACUUUGGGUUUUAACCUACUGCGUUCUUCGAGGCUGUUUUCAGACUCCAGAUUUACUUUGGUGUUGUUUUCUCUCUUCCUGUGAAGCUGAGGCAGAGUCGGGCUCCUUUGCUGUGAGUUGAAGGAUGUUGUGAAAAUAAGGCAUUGCCGGAAGCAACGGUUUGGCAGCAACACUCAGGUUAUUUGUUACGGCUAUUAUUAUUUUGAUGUCUUUUUUUUUUUAACCCUGGUCAGCUACUUUUUACUGUCAUCCAUGGAAGGGCUCUCAUUAACCACCUCAGACUUCUGGGACCUGUGAUUCUUUGGCAUGACCCUUCGGAAAGUUCGUAAGCAGAGAUGGAGCAAACUUGAUUGGAGUUGUGGAAAAAGAGGACAGAUUUGUGUUUUUUCAUGCUGACAAAAAAUAGCUGCUAUGACUUUUCCCGCAAAGUGGACAGGGGCCAAGUGAAGCUGAACUGGUCAUGGUCUGUCGCCCAGUGCUCCCUUGUCGUCGGCGGUUUUGCCCCCGACCCUUCUUGGUGGGCUUGGCUGUGGCAAUCUGUCUCUUCUACCAGUCCCUCACCCUCCGGGGGACAAGGAAGCUCGCAGCCGCUGUCCCUGGCGCUGCCCCACGCACGUCCACUGAAACCCAGGCCAGCAGAUGCAAGACAGAAUUCUCGCAGGACAAACAGUGCUUCCUUCUCUCUGGUGAUGCACAGGAAAUCAGAAAGAUUGAAGAAGCAAUUGAGACACACUUUGGCGGUCAUGGCCGAAGGGCCAUACUCUACAGUCCUUCCAACAGCAAAACAGAGCUUCAGCUCCAUCAGCGCAUUCUCACAGAGCAUGGCUAUACGGUUGUCAUCGCUGAAGAAAGGCUUCAUGCUGGCCUUGGGCAGGGGCUGCUAGAACAAGGUGAUUUGGGCCUCUGGGAUCUGCUCAUUUGCUUGUCUUCUGAGAAAGCUGAUGGAAAACCCUGCAUAUCCAAGGAGAACAUGUGCCAGUUAAGUUUACAUCAAAAGGUAAACAUAUUGCCAGAAAUACAGCAUCAGCUUUGCAAAAAGGAAGGAUUAUGUGAAAUAAUAAGAAGAUUUCCAGAAUUGCAACUUCCAGUGAGUCCCUCUGUAUGUCUGGAACAGGGAAUACAAUUAAAGCCAAGUACUUCAAGUCACCUUUUAAAAACAGUGAAGCCACCUAUCUGGAAACCAGGGAACUGGAGACGUGAACAGCUGAAUCAAACAACAGUCCUUGCUCCACAUGAAACAAUCUUUAGAGCCGAAGAUCUAUCUGUGAUUCUUAAAGCGUAUGUGUUGGUGACAUCCUUAACCCCUUUGCGUGCAUUCAUUCAUUCAACUGGCACUGUUUGGAAUCUACCAAAGAAAAAACGCUUCACUGAAAAGCUGCAAACAUUUUUUGAGACAUUCCUGAGGGCCAGUUCAUCUCUUCAGGCUUUUGAUAAUAUGAAGGAAGCAAUUAGCAAACUUUUGCUAGCAGCCGAAGUAUUCAGUGAAACAUCUACUCGGGGACCAAAGACCUUCAAUAGAUGCAGAUUAUGUUUUCAACUUUUAACUUUUGACAUUGGUUAUGGCAGUUUCAGAUACCCUGUAGUGCUCCAGGUACAUGAGCAUUUAAAUUUUCAAGAUAAUGAUAAUAUGGAUUUUGAGGACCAAAAUACAGAAGAAUUCCUUUUAAAAGAUACUUUCAAUUUUCUCUUCUCUAAUGAAUUACCGCUUUCUGGGUUUUCUGAGAUAUUUCAGAGACUUUAUAGAUCAGAUGUGUUUAAGGGUGAAAACGAUCAAAAGGAACUAAAUCAAUGUCUGUCUUUAGAGGAAAUCAACUCCAUAUUCACUUUCAUAAAGGAACUUGGGAGUCUGGGACAAUUCCAACUGCUCUUCCCAUCCGCUACUCCUGGGAUUCAAUCUUUGGUGCGUGAAUUUUAUGAUAUGGCCAAUCUUAUGGGAAAACCUGGCUCAGUCCUGACCCAGUACUGGUCUCUUUUAAAUAUAUUUGAACAAUUUCGGCUCAUGAACAUAAAGGCACAGCUACAUCCACUGGAAUGGAAUUCUUUCACAGACAAUGAGAACAUUGAAAAACCACAAGUGCCAUUUGACGCAAUAGGAAAUAAAAAAGCUGCAGUUCCACAAAUUAGGAAUGAAAAUAAAGAAAUACAUUGCAGUAAUGAUAAAAACACACCAUGUCAUAUUAAGCAGAUCUUCACACAUCCACAUUUGGAGCUUAACCCUGAAUUUAAUCUGCAGAUCAAAGAUUAUUAUGCUGAAGUCCCAUUUGAUGUGGUAACAGUGACAAUUGGAGUGGAGACUUCUAACUGUCAGUGCAAAGUGCACCUGUAUGAACAGGCUGGGCCAAGCUUUGCCAACUACCCUCUAGGCUUAGGAAUGAACAAAAUCUCAAUAUUUGUGGUGGAUGAAUCUCCAGCACAGGGUGAGACCCUGGUCACUUACAAACUCACCAUCUAUAGAGAAGACCGCCCAAGUCUGCCCUUGUUUGAGGACUUCACAGCAUGUGGUUUUGUGCAGGAUUGUGGUUUGCUGAUUGACCCGGAGGAAACUUGUGGAUUACAGCCUAUUUCUUCUGACUACAUUGAAGCCAUUUCACAGUCUGAGCUAAAGAGUUGUCCAUCUGGGGACAUAAAAGGCCAGUGGAUUGUGCCAUGCCUUAGUUGUUCAGACAACAGGACCUGUGACUGGAGAGAAAUAACUUGGCAGCCCCACAACUGCCAAUACGAUGUCCUAACUAAGCCUCAACUGCAGCAGUGCUUGGGAGGAAGGAAGCAACGUGAACAGGAUCUUAGGUGGAAAGAUGGAGUAAGCUUCCUUCUUGGAGCAUUUGUAUAAUCCAUUUCUAUGGCAAACAUAUGCGUAUGGAGGGCAGGUAAAUGUGGGACCUCUUUUAAACUCUAAACUGAUCUCUGAAUAUGAUUUACUUCAUUAUAGGCUUUUGUUGAUGUGUGUUGGUUUUGUGAUAUAUAAUUGUGUUGAAUUACAGCAAAAUCAAUUGAAGAAAAACAAGCUAUGUUUUCAAUUUUACUUUCAUACAUUUCUCUAAAUAGAUACCCACCUCUUAAUUAAUAAACUCUCAAUGGAACAUUUAUAAAAACUUUUCAGUACAUAACUUUGUAGUCAUAGCGUGAAAUAUAUAGGAGAUAGUUUAGAAAUAUGAUAAUCAAGUUUACAACUGGAAAAACUUAGGAGCCUGACCCAACUGAAUUAAACAAGCCUUUAUUUUGUUUGUCAGUUGAAAACAGUUCAGAAUUUAAACCAGUAAUAAAAUAUCUGAGAGAAAAGUGCAAUUAAGAAAGGGAAAUAUAAAAAGGCAAUAUUUACGGAAAGUACUCAAACUCAGCUGUUAAAACAGGAAAUGUAAGUUAAAUUUUUAAGUAAUGUUUUCAAGUUAAGUAGUGUCUUGGACUUAAAGGUGUUUAAAUUUUUUAAGUGUGGCUAAUUUAUAAUAAUAUGUUCUCACUAAUAUGUGAAUUCCACUAUGGUUAUGUAAUUCAUUGUUGCCUGUCAGUUUCAAUAAAUAGGGAUGGAUAAAAGGAAAGGAGUGCAGUCACUCUCACCAGGGAAGAAUGACUUGCACAUGAUCCCCCCUUCAGCAUUCAACAAAUACACCAACAGUCCAGAUGAAAUGGCAAUAUAGACAAAGAAUUUUGCUCCAAGCAGCUAAAAGAUGUAUCUAUCUAUCUAUCUAGGCGAUGCUAAAUAGUUGCUUGCUUUCCUUUUUUUUGCCACAUUUUGUGUCUGAGAAUGAUUUGCCUAAAUGUCAAUCUUACAUUUGUUUUUGACCCCAAACAGCAAUUUAGCUGCUCCUCUAUAGCCAAUUUAAUUAAAAUGCAUGAUUGAAAAACAUCCGUCAUAACCAUAUCGCAUUUCACAAAGAGACGCUUUGUUGAACUAGAUUUUCAUCAUGACCUAAAUAUCAUUUUAGCCGUCUGAUCAGUCUCAGCUUCGUGUUACAGCUGAACGACCCCCCGCAUCAUUUAGAAAUGGGUGUUUAUCUUAUGAGAUCAGUGAUUUUCAACCUUGGUGCUCAUCAGAAUCACUGGAGAACUGUCUAAACUCAUGGCCUAGGCUUGGCCCUGUACUAGAUGUAAUGAAUGAGACUCCUCCUCACCUCACUUUCAUUCCCUUUAUCUAUACCGAUGUGACAGCUCUGCAGUAAGUAGGCAUUCCCUAGAUUAAUGGACACAUAGCUCCUGCUGCACUCCUAUAUAACUUCCCUUUUUGGAAGGUUCCAGUGGGUUCCUGUUACCUGGUCUGAGUCUUGUGUUGGCAUCUACAUGCACUUUAUUGGUUCCAAAGAAAUACUCCCAAUACUGUAAAUUCUGAAGAUAGGCCCUGUGCAGGGGUAAAGCAAGAGAGGAGGGAAAUGAUUUCUUUUUUUUACUUUUCUUUUCUUGUCUAUUAAUACUACAUACACCCAAUUCUUUCCCUGCCUCAAUACAUCAGAAGGAUCAGAGACACCGACAAGCUACAGAGAGUUUACUACCUUUGUACUGACUCAACCGAGAUAGGCACCAAAUCUUCUCUUUUCAUUUCUUUAUAAUUUGAUUUGCUAACUGUGUCCUGUUUACUUUUGGUGAUGGGAGAAAGGAGGUUAUGGGUUAAAAUAUUUACAUGUCUAAGUAUCAUCAUUGUUAGUUCCCUUCAUUCAUGAUGAAAUAAAAUGGGAUAAAAAUCAUUUCACUGUACAUUUAAAUUAAAAGUUCCCAAAGUAUUGGUUGCAUUUCACCAAUAAAUGACAUUUCUUGCUGUUAUUUGUCCCAGGAAACCAACUCCACAGGACUAGACGUCCUUUUAUGCAUCACACAGAUUAUAAAUUUAGGCUUUCAUAUACUUCCCACUUUUGCUAAUUUAUAGAAGGAAAAAUAUGAAUUUAGGGCUUAGUUUUUUCCCCAGGAAGACUUAGGAGAUAGGGGAAUGUGGUAGAGACUAGGUAAGUGUUCGUCCAACUCAAUUUCUCUUCUUCCUGGCACACAGCUUGACUAUAUUUCUCAGCCUCCCUGAAAUUAGGCAUGUGGCCAUGUGACUUCUAACCAGUGAAAUGUGGUCAACAGUGACGUGGCCAGCUUCCAGGGCUGGCCCAUGGAAAACCCAUGGAAAGGCUGGGUCUUUCCUCAUUCCCUCAGCUGGAUAUCAACAUCUAGAGAGUUCUUGGAACCCAAAACUGAGGAAGGUACAGUCUAAUCAUCCUAGGACCCUGAAUGACCCCCCUGGCCCCACUCCUACACAUAAACCUGCCUGGAACUAUCUGGACUCUUUUGCUGAGAGAGAAAUAAACUUUAAUUUUAUUUGAGCCAUUACACAUUUUGAGGCUCUAUUUGUUAUAGCACUUAGCCUAUCUCACCGAAUACACGGAGAUUGAGAAAUCUGUAUAGUAUUGAGAAAUUGGAAAUCAAAAUAAAGAUAAUUAAACCAUUUUAUGAUAUUUUAAAUAAGCCUAUUUUUAAAGAAGCUCCAAGCUCUUGGAGAGCCUAUAAAUGUGAUGUGCUUUUAGGCUAUAUGGUUCAUGAUGGUGUGAAAAAGAGUGGAAAUAUACAAGCCCCUAUGGACAUGGUGGCUCACACUGCAUGCAGAGUUCUGGGAAUAGAACAGAUGCAAAACUCUUCCAAAGAUAACUUUCCCUCUAGCUGAUGAGCUGAGAUCCAGCCUCUUGUGACACAUCCAAAGUACAUCUCCAGAGAUCACUUGAUGGAGGCAGGCUUACCUCACAGCAUCACAGGACCAGCAAGGAGAUGCUGCACUCUUUUUUUAAAUUGUGUGUUGUGCACUUAAAAGAGCUAACAUUUUGAAGUUAGAGGUCUUUUAGCCAGGGAUACCAAUUAAUCUCUUACAAAAAUUCCUUCACCAACAGUACAAUUAAUCCUAAAAUUACCAAUGCAUUUUCAUUGUAAUUAUGUUUUAUCAUUUCCAUCUUUCAUGAGUGGAAAGGCACUAGGAUAAAAUAAUCCUCUAGAAAAUAGUCAUCCAAGAGCUGUGUCUACCAGAUUAAAAAUGCUAUUGCAAUCAAGAAGAACUUUGUGUAAAUGAUGAUGGCGAUGCUUCCUUUUCACAUCCAAGUAGUUCUUGCUGGCUAAUCAGCAAUGGGACGUGUUCUGAGAGUGUUGGUUUGGUCAGGAUGGCAAUCUCUCUUCCAGUGCUCCAUCUGGAGCUUCAGUUUCUCUGGCAACUCUUCAAAUGCUGCUGGGGGUCAGAAGCAGGGUUGUCAAGGGGGAGAGAGAUUGCUGUGACUUAGAUAUAUCCUAUCUUCUCUGACAUUAAUCUGGAUGAGUUAAUGAAUUUCAUGCACCUUGCAAGGUACUGCAAGGCACACUGGAAGCACUCAGAAACACGACUUGUCUUUCCUGUGCCUUAAUACCAGCUCAUAUCCAUUGUGUGCUUACUAUUGCCAGGAAUAAGUAUUCAAGAUCUCAGUUAAGUCCCCUAAGGUGGUGCUAUUAUCCCCAUUUUACAUAUAAGGAAAUAACUCUUGGGGAGGCAGAUAGUUUGCCUGAAACUGUCAAGUUAAUAAAUAACAGUUCCUAAGAAAUCUUAAACAGAGCUGUUUUGCCUCUGACAUGCUUUGGUGGGCUGCAUCUUCAAAUUACAACUUCAUAGAAGGGACUAGAAAUCUAGAAGUUUUGUUGUUCUUUUCUGUUGGUAACAUAUAGCUACUUUGAUUUUUUUUUUUAAACCUCUGUAUCUCUAUUAGCUCACGAUAUAGACAUCUAGUGACCUUACUGGCAACCUGGAGAUACCCUAGGAAGAACUGGACCUUGAUACUGAAAUGAAAAGAAACUAUAAUAAAAACACACAGUGGUGAUCUCAUUUAAACGCCAGAUCUCAAAGGUCCUUUACUAAUAUUUAAAUAUUAUGGACUGAAUUGUAUCCCCUCUGCCAAAUUCUUACGUUGUAGUUCUAACCCCAGUAACUUAGAAUGGGCCUGUAUUUAGAAAUAGGGCCUUUGAAGAGGUGUUUCAGGUAAAAUGAGGUCUUAUGGGUGUGGCCUACCUCAUCCAGUAUGACUCAGGUCUUUAAAAAGAGGAGAUUAGAACCCAGACCCACAUGGAGGAAAGAUCACGUGAAGACAGAGAGAAGACUGCCAUCUCCAAGCCAGAGAGGGCCUCAAAAGCAACCGACCGUGCUGACUCCUUGAUCUUGGACUUCUAGCCUCCAGAAACAUUCUUUUCAUUGGAGAUUCAACCAACAGAGGGAUCAUGUACUAUCUGAUCGAAAGACUAAAUGAAACGUUGCAGGAAUGGCAGAAGG